rnacentral:lncRNA from 1 species
UUUUUUCUUGCAAACUCCAAGUUUAUAAUACAACUUUGAAAAUACUACAUAGACAAGCUUGACGAGCACGUCAAUAAUCCUAAAAUAAGGUUAAACCCCUACCGUAACCUAGCUCACCGGUUAGUGGGACGGCACAUCAUGAGUACCUUGACUAAGGGAGGGUUAGCAGGCUCGGUGCAAACCUGCCCGGAACUUGGUGCAUCCUGUGGUAGGCAACUCUUCAGAACUUGUGGCCUAAUCUGCUGCUUCUUUAUGGUUUUAUCUGACGGCUCCGAAAAGCUUAAUUUCAGACUUAUGGACUGCAAGCUUUGCCUCAAUGAUGCAUAUGUCAUUCACAAGAUAUCCUUCACGGUCGUUGUAAAACUCGCUUAGAGGAAUUAAAGAGGCGAAGCCCCAUUCGCUUUCCAUCUUAGUGAACACAUGUCCAGUAUCUGCAAAGUCCAAAUAUUCAUGAUCACAAUAGAAGCAUAACAAUUUCUAAUAUAGAAAUAAAAAAUAAGGAGUAGCUCAUUACGCAGAGUACUUAAAAUAAGUAAUGGAAACAAACAGUUAGUGCUAGAGCAUUAGAUCCAAGAAUACAAGACUUCCAGAGUCUGCAAACGUAAGACUCAAGAUCAAAACAAUCCACUUUCAAUCGUUUCAAUCCCUACCAAAGAAAGAGAUUUGAAGGUCCAGAAAUUAACCAUCUAUUUUAGCUACUUAUUGCAACUGGUUAACAAACACACAGACUGCCCAUAAGAAGAACGUUGCGCAUAGCAAACCCAAGUACACACCAGAAUUGCUCACCUCACCUUUAGCUAACAUAUGAGGCCAGAUUACCCAAAUUCGGGUGUUAGAUUCAAUAAUGAUUUAGUAAUACAUAGUAAUGUACCUAAACAAAGGACCAAAGUCAAAACUCAUUGUAAAACUUGAUUUCGAUGAAAAAACCAUAUUCUCCAAGGAUGAAAACCUAACUAUCCCUACCUUAAACUAAAUGGUUUUAUCACGGGAGUAUUUACUAAAUAGAUGGUACUCAAUUGCCAUAACUUAAAAGUAAAAUUUGAAAAGUUAUGCUUUCAACGGUAAUCACCUUUUUAGACAUGAAAAGUUGUAUUAUUGCGCUCAGGUGAUCUAAUAUACUAAUUAAUAGCAGGUAAACUAUCAACCGUACUGCAGAUAAGGUAUGUUUUGCAAUGUCAAAUGCACUGGCAAACAGUUAGCAUCCCCAAUAUACUGCCAUAAAAACAAGAUCCCAUCUUUGGCAGAAGAAAGAUAUCCAGCAUAUCAACCUUCAGUUACACCAUGUUAAUUAAACAAUUGUGGCUCAUGCAUGCCCCUUUCAUUUUCUAAAGGUCUAAACCAACCACCCAGACAUGCAGACAUAGGAAUUUGGUUUAAUUUUUGACAGUUAAAAGGAAACAAGCUUCCGUUGUUAUAGGUGGUUACAAGAAAUAAUUUUCAGACUCCAGAUUAAUACUGGAAACCCAACUAGCCAAGCCGUGAUAAGACACUGCAGUUUCACAUUUAGUAGACAACAUAGAAUAAUAAGCAACCUAGCGGUAAUAAUUAAUGGUGCUCGGAAUUUUAGAGGAAAUGAAGGGAGAAUAAAGAAAGAGAACCUGAGCUCAAUUGUCUUCAGGACCCAGAGAAAUUACCAUUUGAAUGUUUCUUAAAAGGCGACGCGAAAUAAAGAAAAAAUAAUAUUGAAGAAUUAGAUAUUCCUCAAGUUACUGAUUUUCUUCAAAGGAGAUCUCCUUAUAGUGGAAAGUAUUGUUAGCAUUCCACUUCUGUUCUAAACCUAACUAAUCUUUUGAACCAGAGAUAUGAAUUUGCAUUAUUACCUUUUGUUUAUCUACUUUCAGAGUAUCUCGUAUAGUAAAAUUCAAUAAAAUGUUGACAAGGCAGUCGGCAUUGAUAGUAAGUGUGAGACUAAAUAAAAAAGGACAGGAUACAGCAACCACUAGUUGCCUUCGAUAAAUUAGCUUUACCCUAAAAAUUAUAAACUAACAUGGCAAGAGACAAAAACAAGGAUGAAUGUGAAAUAAGAAACAGUAACAUAACAACAAAGUACCCUUUGUUAUUGACUUGCUGCUUUGAAGUUGAUUGACGACACUCAAGCUGAAUUGCGCAUAUCUAGCCCACCCUUUUGGCAAUGUUGAAGAACCAGUAACAUCCAGAUAAACCGACAAGGAGCCUGCGCUUUUCUUCCCCCUCGGAUACAUAAGGAUUCGCCUGAUAGAACCAACCAAGUCUAGUGGAAAACCAUAUAUAUAACAAUGCAAAAAGAAAAAUUUUAAGCUUGUGGAUGGUACGAGACAAUAAAAUACCAUUCAAAACAACCAAUGACGAAGACACCAGAGUAAUGCUUGACGGCAUUUAACUGAGAGAAGUUGUCAAUUUUCCACGUGAAUGUCACAGAUGCAGCAUCAUCCUUGUGAAUAUCCAGUGCCUCCAAUUUCUUUACUCCUCUACAAACUCAAAGCAACAAUAACAUGUCACCGUAACACCAAAUACCACACAACAGAAACUAAAAACGUAAGUAUGCAACCCACAACAAACCUGAAUUCUAUAACUGUGGGAAGAAGAGACCUGGGCUUAGCCACCCUACAGAUAUCCUGGACCAGAACCGCCUCGCAGCCAGGCGGCGGUGCAUCGAAAUAAUGGCAACCCAACCCCAAUGUCAGCCCAAAAUUGGCCAAAAAAUCAGCCACGCUGUUUUUUUGCCGGUACACAUGCUGCAGGGAGUAGUUUUGGAUUUGGUUAAGCAGAUUCAGGCAAUUCCUAAUCAGAUUUUCGCUAUUCCUAAUCUGAUUCAGCGACUUAUGAAUCAAAUUAAACUGAGGGUGUUUCGGGUACAACUGAACCGGGCUGAACACAAGCGUCACCGCCAUGGCUGAGUCAGUUUCCACCUCAAUUGGGUACCACCCAUAAUUCCAGGCAAGCUCCAGGCCUCUGUACAAUGCCCAGACCUCAGCCUCAAUGGGUUUCUUGCCCGUUCCCAGAUUUUCAGCAAACCCACUCAGCCAUUCUCCGUCUUGAUUUCUGAUCACGCCGCCGCCUGCUAUGCACCCCGAGCGGUAACUUCCGUCGACGUUGAGCUUGUACCAGCCAUGGCGGGGAAAACUCCAGCACAAAAGCACCUCCUGAUUGUUUUUAUGCUUUUUCUUUGUGCUGGGUGUAAAUACAAGAAAACCCAUAAGUUUACAGGUCUAAGCUUUAAAGUUGAAACAAGAGAAUCAGAGAGUUUGAUCGAGAGACGUACCUUCCCCUGGACGAUUCCGGUAACUCCAACUCGGAGCCAGACACACUCUGUAACUGCAACUCAGUCAUGGUAAAAGCGGAUUCAGGGGGAGAAAGACGAGGAGUUGACGGAGGCUCACACCAUUUUUUCUUCACUUUGCAGGGGUUGAGAAAAAAGCGCUCGAACGAGUUGGGUCACUGCUUAUGAUUGUUAUUUUGGGAAAGCCAUCCUCCGAAUCCUUUCUUCCUGAUUCAUCCUAUCAGAAAAUUUGUACUAUCGAAAUUUGAUUUAAUGCCUGAAGUUAUUAUAAUUUUUAAAGUAGCCCUAUAUUUGUAGUUAUUUGAUCAAAUUUUAAUAGCACGAAUUUCGUAAAUUGGUAAAUUAGGAUUCCUUUCUGUUAUUAUGAUCGCUAGAUUCACCAUUAUUUUUCUUCGCUAGGAAGCAAAGAAAUAUUCGGUUCGAAUCUUUUUUUAUUUUUAUUUUUAUGAAGAACUGGAUAGAUUCAUAACCAGGGCCGCAUCCAAAAGGAGGAUAGAAAGCCAAGCUACGGCUAACACCAUUUGACCAUAAAGUCGAAAUACAGGGAAAAUAACGACAUGUAACAAACACCAUGUCACCCAUACAUCUACAAAAUAAUUCUAGUUUGGGGGGCAGGGAAGACCAUCCUUGUUUAAGACCCGAACAAACGAAGAUGGGGUCUUCGGACCCAGACAAAGUCGCACAUCUUCGCACCAGUAUGCGACGCCACAAAAUCUGCCACUCCAUUGGCUGAUCUAGGUAGGGGUGGGUUCAGUUCAAAUCGGUUCGGUUUUUUGCCAAAACCGAAACCAAACCGAAUUUUCAGUUCGGUUCAUUUUUUUUCGGUUCAGUUUUUUCCGGUUUGGUUUAGGUUUUUUUUUUUUUUUUCAAAAAAUGAAAAUAAUUGUAAUUUGAAAUUUUAACAUCUCCAACACAAUCAUAACAUAAGCAUUCCAACUAGAAUCAAAGACAAUGAAAAUAAACAUUUAAAGUUCAACUAGAAUCAUCAAUCAAGUCUUCCAAAGUCCAAAUUAACAACCCCGCAACACAAAAAUCGAACAAAAGUUGCAAACUGGCUUACUCUUUUUCUUUGGGGUUUCACUCAGUGUUGAGAUGUAAUAAAUCAGGCAAAGAAAGUUUGUUAGUUUGUGUCAGGGUAAGAAAAACUGAUGAGAAUUUUAGAUCAAGAGAGUAAUUACUAAAUGUUUUAACAGUAUUCCUUGGUUUCAAUUUCUCUUCUUUCCGGUACUUCUUGGGAAUUCAUAUAUUUUAGUCUUUACUCUACCCUUCUUAUCUGCUUCACUUAUUUUUUUUUAAGAAAGGAAUGAGUUUCAAAUGAGUGCAAGUACUCUUAAUUUAUAGCUCUAGCCUCUAGUCAGCAAACAAGCCAAGAAUCUAAUAUUUCCAUUGAUUAUAUAAAAUAGGAUAACAUAGUUCUGUAUAUGCUAUACCUUCGAAUGAAACUGAGCAUUUUAGGAAAGUAAUCAAAGUAUACAGAGACAGAUGUAAGGAACUAUAAAAGAAAUAUAUAAAACAAGGUUAGGAUUUAGAGUUUCUAAAGGUUUUUUUUUAAAAUAUUUUGGGCUUAAAGUUUGGGAACACAUUGAACUUAGCACAUUUGGGCUUACAAAUUGGGUUUAAAAAAUAAUAUUCAAAACAGAUAAUUGAAUAAAUAAAAUAAAAAAAAUAAUUUAAUUAAUUCGGUUUGGUUUGGUUUGGUUUGGUUUCUAGACCACUGAAACCGAAACCAAACCAAAAGAAUUCGGUUUGGUUCAGUUUUUUCAAUUCAGUUUGGUUUUUUCAUUCGGUUCGGUUUUUUCGAUUUCGGUUCAGUUUGGUUUUCAUUUUUCGAUUUUCUAUUUUUUGAACCCACCCCUAGAUCUAAAUACCCAAGACCAGUCACACGAACUGAAAGCCUCGCCCUCAUUUCGAAUCUCCCAAAGAGUCGGAAAGACUUCCCAAGCCCCCUAAUCAAUACACCUAUUUAGCCAAUAAAUAAUUUCCUUCAAGUCCAACUCAACAAUAAUGCGGGAGAAACCCUGUUGCCGAGCCAUGAUACAUCCCUCAAACACCCCCCGCGCCUCCGCCAUUAGAACAUUGGAAGCACGCACCCUCCUUCUUCAUACUGCCAAGCAGCAGGAGGAAGAAUCCCGAAUUACCACUCCGACAUGGCAGUGUUCUUUAACCCGUUUCCAUGUCGCAUCAACAUUAACCUUGAUAACCCGUGCGGUGGAGGAUCCCAGCCUUGAGAAUGUGUCCCCCGCUAGGUUCCGUCAUGAUUGCACCUUCGAGUGCACCUCUAAAAAAUGGGCAAUAGUUGAAAUGAUGGCCAGUAAUGUCCUAGACGGGGAAGGGAAUCUGCAAUUAAAAGCUCCAUCACAUCUAGAUUUCCAAAUUGACCAACAAGAGAAGGCAAUGUACGACAAGGAUUUCCUCAUUUCCACCACCGAACCAAUAAGCCCUCUCCACACGUCCUCCAACCAAGUAUGGAGGGAAGUAAUCUCAGACUUUUCAAUUCUCAACCCCAACUAACCUCUAAACCAAACCCGGUCCACCCAUGGGCACAAUAGUAAAGCAUGCUUGAUCGAUUCCUCAUGUUCAAAGCAAAAGGGACACAUAGGAGAAGGUGCACACAUUUUACAAAAUAUAUUCUGUUUAGUAACUGUAGCCCCCUUAAGUGCCCACCACAUAAAAAAAUUUAUUUUAGGAAGGACCUUAAGUGUCAAUAUACACUUCCACACCCAUGAUUGAAUUGAGGUCAAAGAAACAGGGCGGAAGACCCAUGUUCGGUGAUUAGUAGCAUGGACCAAGUGAUAUCUUGACUUAACAGUGAAACGUCCUCUUCUGUCGGAAUGCCAAACCAACCUGUCCUUACAAUCCAUCGCCCCAGGAAGAAUGUCAACGAUUGCCUAUCGAUCUUCCUGAACACCCUUGCCAAUUACCUGCUCAUUCCACUAUUUGGUUACCGGGUCAAUAAGAGAAUAGACCCUUUGAUUCGGAUCAACUACGACCCCCGAGGUUGGGACAUGAUGUCCAUUUGCAAGGCUUAGGAUCCAGUAAUCCACCCACACCCCUGUCUGAUCACCACUCAUAAUCUGGCAAUGAGCCCCUUUAAUAAUAAAAUCUCUGCCUGCUAGAAGACUCGCUCAGGUCCAAGAAAACCGUCCCCCCUUCUUAGCCUUAAGGAAAGAGUAAUCGGGAAAAUAUCGAUGUUUGAUGGCCUGAGCCUAGAGAGAGUCGAGGGAAUGUAUAAGGCGCCAACCUUGUAUGGCCAACAGUGCUAAGUUGAAUUCUUUAAGAUUACGAAAACCAUGCUCCCUUCCUGCUUUGGUAACCCCAAUGUUUCUUGGUUCACCCAAUGUAUCUUUCUUUCCCUCGUUCUCUGACCCCACCAAAAUUUAGCAACCUCCGCAUCAAUGUCAUUACAUAUGUUGUCGGGAAAACAGAUGAUGUUCAUGGGAUAGGCCGGUAUUGCCUGAGCUACUGCCUUGAUUAGUACCUCCAUUUCGACCUGGGAAAUGAAUCAUUGAUUCCAUCCUUGAAUCUUCGCCAUAACUCUAUCCUUCAUAAAAGUCAGGGCAUUCGUUUAGAUCUCCCCUACACAGUUGGGAUACCCAGAUAACUCCCAGGUCAACAACUUGUAGCAUACCAAGAAUAUAAGACAACUUGUUCCGGAGCCCCGAUGGAGUAUUGGCCCUGAAAUAGAUGGAGGAUUUUUGCAUGCUGAUCUCUUGUCUCGAAGCCGUGCAGAAGGCAUUCAAGAUGUGGGUAAUGUUCUAGCAAUUAAGUUGAGUAGCCUAAAGGAAGAUUAGUGUAUCGUCGGUAAACAACAAAUGAGAGAGAGUAAGCCUGUUCAUACUCAACCUAAUUCUUUCCAAAAAUCCCUCAUCAACUGUACCUUAGAUGAGUCUCGAGAGAACGUCCGUCACAAUGAGGAAAAGAUACGGGAAGAGUUUGUGGGAGGGUUUAAACCGCUUCCCAGGUUGUCCAUUGAUAAGAACAAAAAAAUCCACUGUAGUGACGCAUCCCAUCACAACCUUUUAUCCACCACAGGUGAAAGCCCAUUCGAACCAUAACUGCCUCUAAAAAAUCCCACUCAAUCCUAUCGUAAGCCUUGUUUAUGUCGAUUUUCAUUGCCAGCUCAAAGCGAGUUUUAACCUUCCUGAGUUUGAGGAGGUGAAAAAUCUCAUACACAACCAAUAUGUUAUCCUGAAUCUGACGCCCCUCAACAAAAGCAUUUUGAGUUGGAGAGAUUAUCUGAAACAACCAAGGCUUUAACAUGUUGGCUAACAACUUGGAGAAUAUUUAUAUGAAUAGUUACAUAGACUAAUCGAACGAUAUUGGCCCACCGUGGUCGGGUUUGUAACCUUCAGGAUAAGGACAAUGUGCGUGGAGUUUAAUUUUUUUAGACUUUCCAUACCUUUCGCAAAUUCCUUCCCAACCCAUUCACAUCCUUAGCAAUUAUGUCCCAAAAAGAUUGGUAUAAAAACUCCGUGGAAACCGUCCGGGCCCGACACUUUUAAGCCACUCAUGUGAAACAUUGCCUUAUUGAUCUCAUCUAUAUUAAUUUGUCGGGUAAGAUGGGAAUUCAUUUAUGCCGAAAUGGAUGUUUUGACACUGUCAAGAAUCAAUCCCCAAUCUCUAUUCCCCCCCCCCCCCGGAUUUGAAGAGCCCAGUAAAGUGAUUCUAGUAUCACCCUUUUUACCCCAAUAGAUUCCUCCCUCCAUACCCUUUGGGCGUCUUGGAGCUUUUCAAUUUUAUUAAAUCUCAUUCUCUAGAUAGUAGUUUGAUGAAAGAAGCGGGAGUUUGAGUCACCUUUAGUCAACUAUUUUAUUCUGGACCGUUGACGCCAGAACAACUCAUCUUGUUCCUCCAACAUAUCAAUAGAGGUAGAUAGUGCACUGAUCUCAUCAACUUUAUAUUCCCAAUUUUCUUGAAGCAGUACCAACCAAUUUAAAUGGACCCCAAUAUCCUCCCUUGCUCACUUGAAUCUUCUCCUACUCUAAUUCAAUAAGUUUCCCUUAUAGGAAUUUAGAUGACGUAGCCACCUAUCACACGUGCUGUUUCCCCCGGUCUUACUUCAGCUUCGCUUGACAAUCUCCCUACACCCAUCCUCAUUUACCCAAAAAGCCUGAAAACGAAAUAGUUUCUUUCCUUUUGUCUGCAGGGGAUCAUUAGUGACAAUGAUCGAGCAUUGAUCAGAACCUUUCACCACACCAUGACUAACAGAAGUCAACGGCCAUCUGACCUGCCAUCCCCCGUUAACUAGACCUCGAUCAAGCUAUUCCUGGACAAGACCAUUGUUCAUGUUUCCCCUCCAUGUAAACUUUGGGCCACUAAACCCAAGGUCAAUAAGCUCCAUCUUCACCAUAAAUCAUGAAAGAACCUGGGUCUAGUAUGGCAAUCAUCGCAACCACCAUGCUUAUCAAACUCCCACAAAAUUUCAUUUAAGUCGCCUCCACAAAACCAUGGGCCCUUCAUGGGAUUCAUAACCUGUCGCAUAGAUGUAUGAAUUAUAUUUUUUGUUGAGAAUAAAAUUUGCAUAUCGGUUGACUCGUGCCACCAUAAGCUCAACCCACCAGUUACACCAAUUGGGGGAACAUUGAAACCCCGAUUGUAGCCCAAUAUCUUCCUAAUUUCAUCCAAUCUAUGGCAUUUCAUUUUAGUUUCCAAAAGAAACACCACAUAAGGUCUAACCUUUCUUAUCAGCUCAUGUAGGUACCGAACUACCGUGUCCGACCAGAGACCACAAUAGUUCCAAAGAACAUAGAUCAUGGUGAUUUUGCGGCUGUUUCAGGCCAGCCGCCACAACCCCGAGGUUGUUUCCCAGCCUUCCUUGCCCAAAGCUCCUCCAUUUCAUUCUUCGGAGCCCUGUCCAGAUAGUCUCAAAUGCUAUCCUCUUCCAUGAUUGGAACAUCCUAAAGGUUAUCUUUUGCUAGAAUGGACAUUUUCCACCGCUGACCAUUGUUAUCUAAGAAAGAUACCAUGGAAUCUGCUCUUUUUUCUCCCACCUUGAACCACCAAGCUCAUCCUAGCUUUAAGCUUUCCCAGGCCUCAAAGAUUUCGAGUGCCCAACAUCCUUCCCAUAACCCAUCCCCUCAAAUAAGUUUCCCACAUGCUUAGGGUUUGGCUCCAAGGUUAUUGGGAUUGCCCUUGAGACUAGUUCUGAAGACAUGGGUUAUACUAUUACACCCCCUUCUCUAAGAGCAAUAUCUGUCUGGGCCCAAUUAUUCUCCCUUUCCUCAAACGGAAGCCCAGAAGAAUGACUAAUCUCUUCCAACUCAAUAAUUAUCACCCCUCUUCCACUUGGCAUAUAACUGGGCCCCGUCUCCAGGAAUUGUCCCUUUCCACCUCAUGUACACUCCACUAGGUAUUGUUUAGACCCACGUGGUAUGAGUCACCCUAAGGAUACUUUAAGGAAACCCCUCUGCUGGCUAAUGCUGGAGUUGCCCACAUAAGUGUUGUCAGUAUAGUUCCUUAUCCCUUAUUUUGUGUGCCUUCCAUCUGUCAUCUUUCCUUUUGUCAGGUGGUACCUCCCUAGUCGCCCUUUGCCCACUCAUCCUAGUGCCCUAUCUAUCCUGAAACCUAGAGAGUUCCUGCUUAGUCCUUACCUUCACCGCCCCGCCCUGUCGCAGAUCCCCUGGCACCACUAGACUAGCCCUUCGAGACUCCUGACUAUCUCAGGGUCUCUUGGCCCUAGUCCAGUCACCAUACCCCGCAUCACGACCCCUUGAUGGGGGGAAGAGCAAUCGGUAUUGACAUGACCAAUGCGGCCGCACUUGUAACAAAAAUCUUGUAAGCUCUAAUACUGAAAUUCGAUCCAGGAAUCAAUAUCCACAGUUCUUGGUAGCCAACACCCCAUAGUCAAAGGUUUCUUCAUAUCAACCAUGAUCUUCACUUGCAAAAAGCUCUUUCGCAAGGUCCAGAUCCUUCAUUUCCUGGAACUGUCUAAUUUCCUUUGCCAAUCUUCUUGCACUCAUCUCUGAGCAUAGGUUGAGAGGAAGACCUCUAAUUUGAAGCCAAAACGAAACCUUCUCCAACUUUAUCUCUUCCAAGGAAAGAUUGCUAGGCCACAUUGGCACCGAAAGUUUUUUACUUAUAACCCCCCACGGGACAAGGUCCCUGAUGUAGUUCGCAGAUUCAUCAUCCUUCACAAUAACGACAAAGGUAUUCCCCUGGACCCAGUUAAUAUUUACCUCCCCUGUCUUCUUCCAAGUGGUGUUUGGAUAUUCUUCACACCCCACUUAUUGAGGGGUUGAUCAAACAAAACCGCCCUCACAAGCUUCACCCCAUGUUCCAUACUUGAAAUUUCUAGUGAAUCUUCCAAUCGUAUCACUAAAUCAUCCACCUCCAUCUGCUUCAUUCUCCACCAACAACCCCGAUGUAAUAAGGAAGGUUAAGCAACCUUGGUACAGAUGUGAAUCUUCAUCCUUUGCACUACUUGUAGGUGCAUAAAGCUCUUGUAUAUGCCUAGGAAACACCCACCUACUCGAAUACUAUUCCAGACGACCCACAAAAAGUUAAUGAAAUAUUCAAACACAAUCUUUCUAACCUUGACAUUUAGAUCUUGAGCUUUCGCAAUAAGUUCUGAACAGUAGUUGGUGUUGUUUUCAGACUUUUAUCCAUCAGAUCUGGUGGUUAAGGGCAUUUCCCCCCAUAAAUCCUCAUUAAUAUUUUACCCUCAAUUGCUAGUGUCCUAACACACGGGAGUGAGCAAAUCAGAACUCAAGGGCUCAUUAUCCUUGUACGCAGUAACCAUAAACUAUGUACCCAGGUAGGUAGGGGAAUGAAGGUGGGAGUAAUUGCACUCACAACGGAGGAAGAGCUCUCACAGAGGAGAGAAGGCAAGAACUCAUCAUUUGCUUGAUGCCUCUAAUUAUAGCCUUAUGGUUUCUGUAUCCAGGAAAGAAAAGUUGAGGUCAACCAAAGAGAUGUAUCAUAUGGGGAUUAGUGCUAGCUUUUUGGUUCGAAUCUAAAAUGAUGAUUUGCAACGAAAUUUCUUUACCUUUUUUUAGGUGGUGGCCAAAUUGUUUUUUUUCUUUAUCUACAUUAAGUGUGGAGGGGUGGGCUAAGCUCACAAUAGGCUAGUAAUAAUGGGAUUUAAGUUCAACUUUAGCGAGAAUCGAAUCUAAGACCUCUCAUUUACCAGUGAAAAGGGAUACCACUAAACUGUACUAAUAAUUGGCAAUUGUAUUUUUUUUAUUUGUAGAACUAUUUGGCAACUCAGACUGUACUGACUAUUUCAAUCGGAUAGGAUAAAUAAUCAUCAGAUAGUAUUAACUAAGGCGUUUGGUGCAAGAUCGAACUAAUGACUAUAUUAUUUAUAUUGUGUUUUGUACAAAUAUAAAUUCAAUGUUAAUUAUGUAUUAUCUAGAAACCCAAAUACUUUUCAAAUAUUAUCUUUAAAAUAAGAAGCAAAUGAAAGAUAGUCGUCACGCCUUGAACCCAAGGUCGGUGGAAGAAAUUGAACCCGAAUCUAGAGCGUAAGUUAAAAACUAAAUAAAUAAAAGAAAAUUGAAACGAACUGAAAAAUAAAUUAUUCUUAUAAAAAUAACUCAUGAUUCUUAAACAAAUCAUGAAUUCUUUACAAUUCUAUAAUAAAUAGAUGAAUAAACUUUCUAUUCUCACAUCUAAUCCAAUCUCAUCUUGCCUACCCUUUUGAAUGUUUAGUUCGUGAACCUGCAUAAUAAUAGAGGGAUGAGCUUCAAUAGUUUAGUAGGAACAUAACCUUAACACAAUAAAUUGACAAUACUAAAUAAAGUGUCAUGAGAUCAUAUAGCCAAGUAUCCAAUCAUUAUUGAUAACAAUGCAUGAAUGCAAUGCAACCUCUUCGGCUACACCUUUUAAUAUAUAUAAUAAAACACGCGGGUGCAUGUCCCAUACCGUGCAUUUUACCACUGUAGUGGUGCUUUGAAUGUUCUAUUGUACAAACUAAUAUCCCAAGUUCAUAAAUCUUCUUUGCCAGUCAAUCUUAUCUAAUUUAUUGAUGUUCAACCUAAAUCACCCACAGCGACAAUUUAUCCCACCGAUUUCCUACUCUAAUGUGUACACGGGGCUCACCUGGAACUGGUUUCAUAAUGAAUAGAUUCAAUUACACAAAAGAUCCUUUCCAACCACCCGCAUUUCCAGAAUUCCAAUCUCAACAUUGAAGUUUAGUCAUGUCAUCUUUCAUAUGUAUCAUCGAUUAAGCCAUGUCAAAUCUUAUAUUUAUUUUUUUUAUAUAGAGACAAUAAGACCAAAAGCAAAAUGUGAGAGAAGGGGAAGGAAUGGGUUGAGAAUAGGAGGGGAAAGAAUCAUACUUCCUUAUUAAAAGCAAAACACUGUUGCUUCUAAGUUGCGGCUACAAGGUGCCUCAUGGAAAAGACAUCGUGAUAUGCAUUUACCGUUUUCGACUAGUUUGUAAUUGAUCUAAUCUCUCUUCCCCUUCAAUCUUAUGAUGUUGCAGAGAAAUGGAGAGGAGCAGUGCGAGUGUCUUGUAGAGUACAUGGAAAAGACGCUGGAGCCUGGAAGGUGAUAGGGAAAACAGAGCCAGCGAGAGGAGGUGGGGAGAACAGAGUGCGAGACGAGGAGAAUAGAACCUGCAAAAGGAGAUGGGGAGAACAGAGCCGACGAGAGAAUGAGACAGAGAGAACCAUGACAACGAGAAGAGGCGAGAGAAAGCCUAGUUUGUGAGAGGGAGAUGAAUGAGACCCUACUAAUUAUAAGCUCUUUUGGAAGGUUUUAUUAAGGGAUCUCUUCCCUUCUAAUCUCUCUUCCCUUCUAAUCUCUCUUCCCUUCCCUUAUCUCAUAUUUGAACAGUUACGAUUUAGCCACGUUAACAUCUUAUAUUGAUUUUUUUUUAUAGAGCCAAUAAGACAAAAAACAAUAUGUGAGAGGAAGGGAGAGAAUGAGAUGUGAAUAGGAGGAGAGAUAAUCCUACUCCUUUAGUAAGAGGGUGUAUGCCGUAUAAAAUAAGUGGAUCAGAUUAAAUUAGCUUGUCCAAUUUAAUACGAGAGGUGCCAAACGACUAAGUCCGUAUUAUUAGACCCAUUUUGUCUCUUAUAUGACUUGCCAAAUAAGGCCUAAGGGUAUAUGCGAGAAAAACAAAAAUUAUGCUUUUAGAGAAUUAAUUUCAUAGUUUAUAGUAGUGAAGUCCACAUGUCAAAUGAUAAGUGGGAAAGGUAAGUAGGGAAAGAUAAACAGGAAGGGCAAUGUUAUUCACACACAAUUUUUUACUUUCCGCACACCCUUACUAGUUUUUGUCCAUUGAUCUUCUUCAACUCAUUUGAUCCGAUUGCCAAAAAUUUAAAGAAGUGUGUGAAUAGCACCACCCAAAUGAGAAAGGUAGCUAGCAUUCCUCAUUUUGGAAAUGUAUUUCUUCCAUCCAAACAAAACAUAAGGUUAACCCCUACCGUAACCUAGCUCACUAAUCCAUGUAUAUCUCGUCCAUGCCUUCUUGAGUCUUGUCAAAAUCUCUUACUCUUGCCUCAAGAUUUACCUCCGCAACAGCUGGCUCAGCCCUCAGCCUCUUCACUUGCGUUUGUAAAGCAUCCACAUCCUCUCUCAGACUCUUCAACUUCCUUGCCCUUUCCACAGUCUUCUUCAUACCCAAAGCCUUUUGAACACAAGGCUCCAACCACGCCAAGUCAAGGCCUCAAGCUCCUCCCACAAAAGUUUUAGUUCUUCACACGCAUAGGCUGUCAUAUCCUUGACCUUUUUCGUCUUCAUAAAAAGCAAUAUGCGGCCCAAAGCUGUGAACGCCCACUCAGCAAACAUGCGACUUCUCUUGCGUUGGCAUUCAAUUAGCGAAGGAUGCCACAAACAAACUUCAUCUAGCAGUGGAACAAAAGCAUUGUCUAUGUUCCC